rnacentral:rRNA from 1 species
UACGUAGGUGACAAGCGUUGUCCGGAUUUACUGGGCGUAAAGAGCGCGCAGGCGGUCGAUCAAGUCGAGUGUGAAAGCCCCCGGCUCAACUGGGGAGGGUCAUUCGAUACUGAUCGACUCGAAGGCAGGAGAGGGUAGUGGAAUUCCCGGUGUAGUGGUGAAAUGCGUAGAUAUCGGGAAGAACACCCGUGGCGAAGGCGGCUCUCUGGGACGGUACUGACGCUGAGACGCGAAAGCGUGGGGAGCGAACAGG